rnacentral:misc_RNA from 1 species
UGGAAUAAAAGAAUUCAAUUAUUUUUAACUUUAAAUUUCGCAUUUUCCACCGUUUGGGGCACUGAGAAAAUGGGUCAACAGAAAAGAAAACUAAGAAAUUUUUUAGAGGAAGCCAUUUUCCAAACUUUGACAAUUUUAUUAAAAUGUGAAAACACUUAUACAUGUAUGACAAACAUUUAUCAUUAGUUUAAUAUUGCAAACAAAUAAUGGAGAACAUUUUCUAUAUAAAAGCUAUUUUCCGCAAAACAAAUGAAGCCUAAGCAUGAUUGUGUGAGAAUUUAAUUGAAUUUUUUUCUUGCAAAUGAUUUAUCCCAAAUAAAGCAAUAAUGAAAGUAAUUUGAAUUCAUUCUUUCACUUUUCAUAUUAGUUUGAGAUGAUAAUUAUCCAAUAUCCUUUAGAACCAAAAAAAUAAGAGAAAAAUUCUCAUAAGGGACAAGAAACAAUUUCACAACUUUUAUUAAUUCUCAAAUUA